rnacentral:rRNA from 1 species
GACGAACGCUGGCGGCGUGCUUAACACAUGCAAGUGGAGCGACGAACCAGGGCUUGCCCUGGGGCAGAGCCGCGAACGGGUGAGUAACACGUGGGUAACGUGCCCCGAUGACUGGGACAACCCGGGGAAACCCGGGCUAAUACCGGAUGUGCCCCCUCACAUCAGUGAGGUGUGUAAAGGAAGCUUCGGCCUCCGCAUCGGGAUCGGCCCGCGGCCCAUUAGCUUGUUGGUGAGGUAACGGCUCACCAAGGCUGCGAUGGGUAGCUGGUCUGAGAGGACGAUCAGCCACACUGGGACUGAGACACGGCCCAGACUCCUACGGGAGGCAGCAGUGGGGAAUCUUGCGCAAUGCGCGAAAGCGUGACGCAGCAACGCCGCGUGGGGGAAGACGGCCUUCGGGUUGUAAACCCCUUUCAGUUGGGACGAAGGUCGGGCGGUUAACAGCCGUUCCGGCUGACGGUACCUUCACAAGGAGCCCCGGCUAACUACGUG